GGAUCAUUAUAGAAUCUGGGUAGCAGCAAUGCAUAAACCCCCAAACCAUUGUGAACAAAGCCCUAACAGUUGCUUCGGCGGGUGGUUAUACCGCGCUCCUCACGGAGCAGCCCGCCGGAAGCAAGCAAACUCUUGUUUUUAGUUGUCAUUUCUGAGUAACUUUAUAAUAAGUCAAAACUUUCAACAACGGAUCUCUUGGUUCUGGCAUCGAUGAAGAACGCAGCGAAAUGCGAUAAGUAAUGUGAAUUGCAGAAUUCAGUGAAUCAUCGAAUCUUUGAACGCACAUUGCGCCCGUCAGUAUUCUGGCGGGCAUGCCUGUUCGAGCGUCAUUUCAACCAUCAAGCCCCAGGCUUGUGUUGGGGCCCUGCGGCUGCCGCAGUCCCCUAAAAGCAGUGGCGGACUCGCUGUCAUACCGAGCGCAGUAAUACAUCUCGCUUUGGGCAUGUCAGCGGGCACUGGCCGUUAAAUACUCCACUAAGUUUGACCUCGGAUCAGGUAGGAAUACCCGCUGAACUUAAGCAUAUCAAUAAGCGGAGGAAAAGAAACCAACAGGGAUUGCCCUAGUAACGGCGAGUGAAGCGGCAACAGCUCAAAUUUGAAAUCUGGCUUCGGCCCGAGUUGUAAUUUGCAGAGGAAGCUUCUGGUGCGGCGCUGUCCGAGUCCCCUGGAACGGGGCGCCAUAGAGGGUGAGAGCCCCGUAUGGAUGGAUGCCUAGCCUAUGUGAAGCUCCUUCGACGAGUCGAGUAGUUUGGGAAUGCUGCUCAAAAUGGGAGGUAAAUUCCUUCUAAAGCUAAAUAUUGGCCAGAGACCGAUAGCGCACAAGUAGAGUGAUCGAAAGAUGAAAAGCACUUUGAAAAGAGGGUUAAACAGCACGUGAAAUUGUUGAAAGGGAAGCGCUUGUGACCAGACUUGCGCCAGGCUGAUCAUCCGGUGUUCUCACCGGUGCACUCUGCCUGGCUCAGGCCAGCAUCGGUUCUGGUGGGGGGAUAAAGACCUAGGGAACGUAGCUCUUUCGGGAGUGUUAUAGCCCAAGGUGCAAUGCCCCCGCUGGGACCGAGGU
rnacentral:rRNA from 1 species